rnacentral:rRNA from 1 species
UACAGAGGGGGCAAGCGUUAUUCGGAAUUAUUGGGCGUAAAGGGCGCGUAGGCGGCUUUGCAAGUGACGGGUGAAAUCCCUCGGCUUAACCGAGGAACUGCCUGUCAGACUGCAUGGCUUGAGACCGGGAGAAGGUGAGUGGAAUUCCCAGUGUAGCGGUGAAAUGCGUAGAUAUUGGGAGGAACACCAGUGGCGAAGGCGGCUCACUGGACCGGUACUGACGCUGAUGGCGCGAAAGCGUGGGGAGCAAACAGG